rnacentral:rRNA from 1 species
CUGUGAGCUCGAUGAGUAGGGCGGGACACGUGGUAUCCUGUCUGAAUAUGGGGGGACCAUCCUCCAAGGCUAAAUACUCCUGACUGACCGAUAGUGAACCAGUACCGUGAGGGAAAGGCGAAAAGAACCCCGGCGAGGGGAGUGAAAAAGAACCUGAAACCGUGUACGUACAAGCAGUGGGAGCACGCUUAGGCGUGUGACUGCGUACCUUUUGUAUAAUGGGUCAGCGACUUAUAUUCUGUAGCAAGGUUAACCGAAUAGGGGAGCCGAAGGGAAACCGAGUCUUAACUGGGCGUUAAGUUGCAGGGUAUAGACCCGAAACCCGGUGAUCUAGCCAUGGGCAGGUUGAAGGUUGGGUAACACUAACUGGAGGACCGAACCGACUAAUGUUGAAAAAUUAGCGGAUGACUUGUGGCUGGGGGUGAAAGGCCAAUCAAACCGGGAGAUAGCUGGUUCUCCCCGAAAGCUAUUUAGGUAGCGCCUCGUGAAUUCAUCUCCGGGGGUAGAGCACUGUUUCGGCAAGGGGGUCAUCCCGACUUACCAACCCGAUGCAAACUGCGAAUACCGGAGAAUGUUAUCACGGGAGACACACGGCGGGUGCUAACGUCCGUCGUGAAGAGGGAAACAACCCAGACCGCCAGCUAAGGUCCCAAAGUCAUGGUUAAGUGGGAAACGAUGUGGGAAGGCCCAGACAGCCAGGAUGUUGGCUUAGAAGCAGCCAUCAUUUAAAGAAAGCGUAAUAGCUCACUGGUCGAGUCGGCCUGCGCGGAAGAUGUAACGGGGCUAAACCAUGCACCGAAGCUGCGGCAGCGACGCUUAUGCGUUGUUGGGUAGGGGAGCGUUCUGUAAGCCUGCGAAGGUGUGCUGUGAGGCAUGCUGGAGGUAUCAGAAGUGCGAAUGCUGACAUAAGUAACGAUAAAGCGGGUGAAAAGCCCGCUCGCCGGAAGACC